UGUGGUGAGUAGUUGACUCAAAGAGAAAGAAAGACAACAGAAAGACAACAAAUUCAUUUAUUCCAAAAUGAUGGAGAAGCACUUUCACAGCUAGCAAAUUUAUCCUACUGAAGAGAAACUUGGUCAGUUGUACAACUGAAUGUCUUCCGCAUUUAACCCAACCCCUCUGAAUCAAAGGUGUGCAGGGGCUGCGUUAAUUGUCAUCCACUUCUUCAACACCCAGUGAACAGUGGGUUAACUGCCUUGCUCAGGGGCAGAACAACAGAUUUUUACCUUUCAGCUCAGGGAUUUGAUCUGGCAACCUUUCGGUUACUGGCCCAACACUAACCACUAGGCUACCUGCCACCCCACUGAAACACACUGCUUAAACAGAGCUGACUAUGACCUUUCAACACAACAAUGGAACUCUUCCAAGUCAAGGAGAGAACCACACCUUUGCCGUGGCAAUCUCCAGGAUGUGACGUUCCCACGGAAGUCCUGUGGUCACUGACGCCAAGAGAGGUGUGAAGACUGAUGAAAACUUUAAUCAACAAAAUGGAAGCUGUGAUAUUCUGUUUGUCGGACGGCGGUCAGUUCGAAGAGGAACGACACAGGUGCGCUCCUACAGUAUCAUACAGUUUUGGGGUGUGGUGAUUACUUUAGAGAAUUUCUCAUUUGUAAUUUUUAUGCCUUUUGUUUUAAUGUUUUGGGCCAUGCAAAGUGAUGCUAAUUAGACGAUA